UGAAAAUUAGUCUUGUAAUUGAUUUAGAAGAAUAAUAUUUAAGGAAAUACUCAAAAUCUUACCACAAAGUCUAAAAUCUCAACGAUAGUCAUUAAAAAAAAAAAUACAGUAUGUGAAACUUCUACGAUGAGGUAAAAGCAAAAGGAUAAAUGAAGAAGAAUGUGCAAGAGGAGCUGGGCUAGAGAUUACGCGGUGAGGUGGGGCCUUAUGUCGUAGAAGGAAAGCUACAAAAUCAUAAAUCACGCGAGAUGAUGAUCCAACUCGUAACCCACGUGUACUCUUCAAUCACUACAAAAAGUCAAAUCAACGCGCCAACAACAUGGACGCCCUGGGCCCCAACCGACUAGCCCACACUUCCCUCCAAAACCACUGUCGUAAGCAGUGACAAAAUCACCUCGUGUGGGCUCGCGACACGCGCGCACCACACUUCAUAGCGCCACACGUGUCCAAUUACAUAUCACCUAACUUUUUUUUCUCUCCUAAAAUCCUGCCAUUGAAAUAAAAGGAAAUGUAAAAGGAAUCAGAACACGAUACAAAAUACUAGAGAAUGACGGCCAUUUUAUUUUAACCUAUUUACUAAAUUCUAAAACUGUCACCCUACCUAAC
rnacentral:lncRNA from 1 species